GGGCCUGUAGCUCAGCCAGGUAGAGCAUCUGGCUUUUAACCAGAUGGCCUGGGGUUCGAAAAUGGAUCAUCGAAUGGUGAUUCUCGGAAAUCCCCACAGGCCCG
rnacentral:tRNA from 1 species